rnacentral:rRNA from 1 species
AGUUUGAUCCUGGCUCAGGAUGAACGCUAGCGGCAGGCCUAACACAUGCAAGCCGAGGGGUUUUGUAGCAAUGUAAGACGACCGGCGCACGGGUGCGUAACGCGUAUGCAAUCUACCUAUCACACGGGGACAGGUCCCGGAAACGGGAAUUAAUAUCCGAUGGCGCAUUGAUACCGCAUGGUAUUGGAAGCUAAAGAUUUAUCGGUGAUAGAUGAGCAUGCGUGACAUUAGCUAGUUGGUGAGGUAACGGUUCACCAAGGCAACGAUGUCUAGGGGUUCUGCAAGGAAGAUCCCCCACACUGGUACUGAGACACGGACCAGACUCCUACGGGAGGCAGCAGUGAGGAAUAUUGGUCAAUGGGCGCGAGCCUGAACCAGCCAUCCCGCGUGCAGGAAGACGGCCCUAUGGGUUGUAAACUGCUUUUGUGCAGGAAGAAUGUGCCCAUCGUGAUGGGUAGUGACGGUACUGCAUGAAUAAGCACCGGCUAACUCCGUGCCAGCAGCCGCGGUAAUACGGAGGGUGCAAGCGUUAUCCGGAUUUAUUGGGUUUAAAGGGUGCGUAGGCGGUAAAAUAAGUCAGUGGUGAAAAGCUGCAGCUCAACUGUAGUCCUGCCAUUGAAACUGUUUUACUUGAGUAACCAUGAGGUAGGCGGAAUGUGUAGUGUAGCGGUGAAAUGCUUAGAUAUUACACAGAACACCGAUUGCGUAGGCAGCUUACUAGCGGUUCACUGACGCUGAUGCACGAAAGCGUGGGGAUCAAACAGGAAUAAUACCCUGGUAUCCAAUCGUACUGGGCC